UACGUAGGGUGCGAGCGUUGUCCGGAAUUAUUGGGCGUAAAGAGCUUGUAGGCGGUUUGUCGCGUCUGCUGUGAAAUCUCAAGGCUCAACGUUGAGCUUGCAGUGGGUACGGGCAGACUAGAGUGUGGUAGGGGAGACUGGAAUUCCUGGUGUAGCGGUGAAAUGCGCAGAUAUCAGGAGGAACACCGAUGGCGAAGGCAGGUCUCUGGGCCACUACUGACGCUGAGAAGCGAAAGCAUGGGGAGCGAACAGG
rnacentral:rRNA from 1 species